rnacentral:rRNA from 1 species
GACAGAGGGUGCGAACGUUGUUCGGAAUUACUGGGCGUAAAGCGCGUGUAGGCUGUUCGGAAAGUCGGAUGUGAAAGCCCUGGGCUCAACCUAGGAAGUGCAUUCGAAACUCCCGAACUGGAGUCCCGGAGAGGAAGGCGGAAUUCUCGGUGUAGAGGUGAAAUUCGUAGAUAUCGAGAGGAGCAUCGGUGGCGAAGGCGGCCUUCGUGGACGGUGACUGACGCUGAGACGCGAAAGCGUGGGGAG